rnacentral:rRNA from 1 species
AUGACGUCAAGUCAGCACCGGCCCUUAUGCCUUGGGCUACACACACGCUACAAUGGGUGGUACAAUGGGUAGCAAGAGAGCAAUCUGGAGCUAAUCCUAAAAAACCAUCCUCAGUUCAGAUUGCAGGCUGAAACCCGCCUGCAUGAAGCUGGAGUUGCUAGUAACUGCAGGUCAGCAUACUGCCGGUUGAACCUACGUUCUCGGCCUU